rnacentral:lncRNA from 1 species
UUCUCUUCUUAUAGUCUGGGUUUGUUAACCUGUGUGAUCCCUGACAGCUGUGUGUGUGUGUGUGUGUGUGUGUGUGUGUGUGUGUGUGUGUGUGUUUUUGUCUGUGUGUGUUUUGCAGCAGAAGGGGAGAUUGUGGACGGUGAGGGAAAGUCAGACUCCAGUCCGGAGAGAGAGGCCGCAGCAGAAGAUGACUCUAAAGACACAGAUCCCUGCAAGAAAAGGAAGAGGAAGCCCUACCGCCCUGGUAUUGGAGGAUUCAUGGUUAGACAGAGGAACCGGACAGGUCUGGGCAGAACCAAACAGGCCUUGUUCAGGAAGGACUCCACUGGCUCUGAGACCCUGCAAGGCAAAGAUGAGAGCUGGGGUGACCAAGCGCCUGACACUCCAAUCGAUGAAAAACCACCUUUGUCUGAUUUUCCCGACAACACUGAGGUUAAAAUACGGAAACGCUACAGGAAAAAGAAGACCAAACUGGAGGAGGCUUUCCCUGCUUACCUACAGGUCAACUUUUAAAAUAUAAUAUAUUAACUC